UACGUAGGGUCCAAGCGUUAUCCGGAAUCACUGGGCGUAAAGCGUGCGUAGGUGGCGCGUUAAGUGAGAUGUUAAAUCGUGUGGCUCAACCAUAUCGAUGCAUCUCAUACUGGCGUGCUAGAGGACAGCAGAGGCAAGUGGAAUUUGUAGUGUAGCAGUGAAAUGCGUAGAUAUAGGGGAGAACACUCGUGGCGAAGGCGGCCAGCUGUACCAGCCCUGACGCUGAGGCGCGACAGCGUGGGGAGCAAACAGG
rnacentral:rRNA from 1 species